rnacentral:rRNA from 1 species
CGUGUAGGCGGUUGGGUAAGUCAGAUGUGAAAGCCCUGGGCUCAACCCAGGAAGUGCAUUUGAAACUACCCAACUUGAGUACGGGAGAGGAAGGGGGAAUUCCCGGUGUAGAGGUGAAAUUCGUAGAUAUCGGGAGGAGUACCGGUAGCGAAGGCGCCCUUCUGGACUGAUACUGACGCUGAGACGCGAAAGCGUGGGGAGCAAACA